rnacentral:rRNA from 1 species
UACGGGGGGGGGCAAGCGUUGUUCGGAAUUACUGGGCGUAAAGGGCUCGUAGGCGGCCAACUAAGUCGGAUGUGAAAUCCCCAAGCUUAACUUGGGAACUGCAUCCGAUACUGGAUGGCUUGAGGUUGGGAGAGGGAUGCGGAAUUCCAGGUGUAGCGGUGAAAUGCGUAGAUAUCUGGAGGAACACCGGUGGCGAAGGCGGCAUCCUGGACCAAUUCUGACACUGAGGAGCGAAAGCCAGGGGAGCAAACGGG